rnacentral:rRNA from 1 species
CUACGGGAGGCAGCAGUGGGGAAUUUUGGACAAUGGGCGCAAGCCUGAUCCAGCAAUGCCGCGUGAGUGAAGAAGGCCUUCGGGUUGUAAAGCUCUUUCGGACGGAAAGAAAUCGGUGGGGUGAAUAAUCCUGCUGGAUGACGGUACCGUAAGAAGAAGCACCGGCUAACUACGUGCCAGCAGCCGCGGUAAUACGUAGGGUGCGAGCGUUAAUCGGAAUUACUGGGCGUAAAGCGUGCGCAGGCGGCGCUGUAAGACAGGUGUGAAAUCCCCGGGCUUAACCUGGGAAUGGCGCUUGUGACUGCAGUGCUCGAGUGCGGCAGAGGGGGGUGGAAUUCCACGUGUAGCAGUGAAAUGCGUAGAGAUGUGGAGGAACACCGAUGGCGAAGGCAGCCCCCUGGGUCGACACUGACGCUCAUGCACGAAAGCGUGGGGAGCAAACAGGAUUAGAUACCCUUGUAGUCC